CCUACGGGAUGCAGCAGUGGGGAAUAUUGCACAAUGGGCGCAAGCCUGAUGCAACCAUGCCGCGUGUAUGAAGAAGGCCUUAGGGUUGUAAAGAACUUUCAGUUGGGAGGAAGGCGUUGAUGCUAAUAUCAUCAACGAUUGACGUUACCAACAGAAGAAGCACCGGCUAACUCCGUGCCAGCAGCCGCGGUAAUACGGGGGGUGCAAGCGUUAAUCGGAAUUACUGGGCGUAAAGCGCACGCAGGCGGUUGAUUAAGUUAGAUGUGAAAUCCCCGGGCUUAACCUGGGAAUGGCAUCUAAGACUGGUUAGCUAGAGUCUUGUAGAGGGGGGUAGAGUUCCAUGUGUAGCGGUGAAAUGCGUAGAGAUGUGGAGGAAUACCGGUGGCGAAGGCGGCCCCCUGGACAAAGACUGACGCUCAGGUGCGAAAGCGUGGGGAGCAAACAGGAUUAGAUACCCCCGUAGUC
rnacentral:rRNA from 1 species